rnacentral:lncRNA from 1 species
GGGCGGGAUGUAACCCGCUGCUGAGCUGGCAGCUCUGUGUCGCUAGGCUUCGGCCCGGCCGCCGCCGCACAUAAGCUGCGAGGAGGAGCUUUACGACUUCCCGGUCUUCGGGGCCGGGCGCAGCAAGGGCCAGACUCUGCGCUAGCAGGCGCUGCGCGCCAACCGGCCGGCACCUGUCGCAGAAGGUGCAACCGAUCGCACUGUCGCGCCGAAGCUCCUCAAUGGCCAGCGCCAGCUGCAGCCCCGGCCGCCCACUCGCCUCACCUGAGCCUGGGAGCUUGAAAAAUCACAUUUGAGAAGAGGAUUGGAUCCUAGCCAUAACAUAAAUAUAAGGGUGGAACCAAAGUUUUAAUCAAAGAAGGUGGUGUUCAGUUGCUGCUUACAAUAGUUGAUACCCCAGGAUUUGGAGAUGCAGUGGAUAACAGUAAUUGCUGGCAGCCUGUUAUCAAUUACAUUGAUAUUAAAUUUGAGGACUACCUAAAUGCAGAAUCGCGAGUGAACAGAUGUCAGAUGCCUGGUAACAGGGUGCAGUGUUGUUUAUACUUCAUUGCUCCUUCAGGACAUGGACCAUUACAUAACUGAAGACUCCCACCUUCAGGCAGGAUUGGGUAGUACGUGUUUGUAACUACCUGGCAUUGCCUUUUGUUGAGGUUAGAUCUUGGGACAGCCCACAUACCUAGACAAACUUAGGCUUUCCAGCUUGCACUGGACCAGGGUGGAAAGGAAGGGUAGAUGUCUACCCAAAUGGAAUAUUGAGUAUCAGAGACUUCAAAUGAUAACUUUUGUUUGUUUGGAGAAAAUCUUGAGGACGUGAUCACUGUACAAAAGCAUGGCAAAAUGAGGAAACCACUGACAGGUGAAGAAUUUGCACAAUGGAAAACCACCUUGACCAUCUCAUGACUUUAUACAGGAAUCGGAGACAUCCAAGGCCAUUCCAUUUCUAAAUCACACUUAUCCCUCAAUCAAGUCAGUGACUGGAUCAUCUCCUAAGGUUUCACCUGCUUUGCAUCAGUGAGUUGGACUAUGGAUCAGGUACUGUGCUCAGCAUCAGAAAAUGGGAUGACAAUGAACAGAGUAACAGGACUAUAUUUCUGAAAAAGGAUGAACUUACUGGAAACAGGAUUGCGUGCCUGAAAUAUAUCCAAAUGGAUAUAAAUGUCAACUCAGUUCUGGGCUGGAGAUAUAGAUUUGGAAUGCACCAACAAUGCAGAUGGUAAUCCUGGCAUGCGAGUAGGUGAGAUCAUCCAGGGAGAUGGCCUAUAAUGAGAGCCUACAACAUGUCAGAUUCUGUUCACUCUCUGCUAUCAGUUGCUGUGUCCUUAAGGAAUGCAGACAAUGUUAAUUCAAGCAAAACAAUAGAAAGAAAAUGAUUUGAAAUGAAAACUUGGCUUUAAAAAGUUACAUAAUAUACUCUCAAGCUAAAUAUAGGUUAUUUUUUAGUAUCUGC